AAGUCGUAACAAGGUCUCCGUUGGUGAACCAGCGGAGGGAUCAUUACCGAGUUUACAACUCCCAAACCCCUGUGAACAUACCUUAUGUUGCCUCGGCGGAUCAGCCCGCGCCCCGUAAAAAGGGACGGCCCGCCGCAGGAACCCUAAACUCUGUUUUUAGUGGAACUUCUGAGUAUAAAAAACAAAUAAAUCAAAACUUUCAACAACGGAUCUCUUGGUUCUGGCAUCGAUGAAGAACGCAGCAAAAUGCGAUAAGUAAUGUGAAUUGCAGAAUUCAGUGAAUCAUCGAAUCUUUGAACGCACAUUGCGCCCGCCAGUAUUCUGGCGGGCAUGCCUGUUCGAGCGUCAUUACAACCCUCAGGCCCCCGGGCCUGGCGUUGGGGAUCGGCGGAGCCCCCCGUGGGCACACGCCGUCCUCCAAAUACAGUGGCGGUCCCGCCGCAGCUUCCAUUGCGUAGUAGCUAACACCUCGCAACUGGAGAGCGGCGCGGCCACGCCGUAAAACACCCAACUUCUGAAUGUUGACCUCGAAUCAGGUAGGAAUACCCGCUGAACUUAA
rnacentral:rRNA from 1 species